UGGGGAAUUUUGGACAAUGGGGGAAACCCUGAUCCAGCCAUCCCGCGUGUGCGAUGAAGGCCUUCGGGUUGUAAAGCACUUUUGGCAGGAAAGAAACGUCAUGGGUUAAUACCCCGUGAAACUGACGGUACCUGCAGAAUAAGCACCGGCUAACUACGUGCCAGCAGCGGCGGUAAUACGUAGGGUGCAAGCGUUAAUCGGAAUUACUGGGCGUAAAGCGUGCGCAGGCGGUUCGGAAAGAAAGAUGUGAAAUCCCAGAGCUCAACUUUGGAACUGCAUUUUUAACUACCGGGCUAGAGUGUGUCAGAGGGGGGUGGAAUUCCCCGUGUAGGAGUGAAAUGCGUAGAUAUGCGGAGGAACACCGAUGGCGAAGGCAGCCUCCUGGGAUAACACUGACGCUCAUGCACGAAAGCGUGGGGAGCAAACAGG
rnacentral:rRNA from 1 species